rnacentral:rRNA from 1 species
AACGAACGCUGGCGGCAUGCCUAACACAUGCAAGUCGAACGAGACCUUCGGGUCUAGUGGCGCACGGGUGCGUAACGCGUGGGAACCUGCCCUUAGGUUCGGAAUAACUCCCCGAAAGGGGUGCUAAUACCGGAUAAUGUCUUCGGACCAAAGAUUUAUCGCCUUUGGAUGGGCCCGCGUUGGAUUAGCUAGUUGGUAGGGUAAAAGCCUACCAAGGCGACGAUCCAUAGCUGGUCUGAGAGGAUGAUCAGCCACACUGGGACUGAGACACGGCCCAGACUCCUACGGGAGGCAGCAGGGGGGAAGUUGGGACAAUGGGCGAAAGCCUGAUCCAGCAAGGCCGGGUGAGUGAUGAAGGCCUUAGGGUUGUAAAGCUUUUUUACCCGGGAUGAUAAUGACAGUCCCGGGAGAAUAAGCCCCGGCCAACUCCGU